rnacentral:lncRNA from 1 species
CCGAAUAAACCUUACCCGCCCCAGCCUAGACCCAUGCCCUGAGCCGCCUUACCCGCCCCACAACCCCUCAUAUAUAACCCCUCUUAUGAAAUUUCCCUUAAACAAACCCUAAAGACUAAAAAACCUAAAAACGGCGCCCCCUUUCAUACUGUUCAUUGUCUUCCUCCUCUAAGCCGACCUCAACUCGCCUAAAACUCAGGCGAGUUCGCUCACAACACAGGUCCCAUCCCUCCACGUCACCCUAAUCCUAACGGAUUUAUGACAAAAUGAGAAUAUUCCCUCAAAUUUGCACGAUAUUUUUGCAUUCUGGACGAUUUGUUGGAUGAAUGGGAGCCGUGGAUGGAUGAAAAUCAAUCCACGCCUUCCAUUUGUACCUAAAAUUGUUUACAAACAGAGGGGAUUUUUGGAUUUUUGAAGAAAGCUUCGAGAAAAUCGGAGGGUCUAUAUAAGGUGAGGAUUUUUCUUGUGUGAGGGGGUCUUUUUUUUUCCGGAAGUUGAUUGAAGUAAAAAUUCUAGGGUUCUUGAGUUCUUUUCUUCAGAUUGCUCAAAUUUUAGUUUUCUUUCUUCAAAAAAAUAGUCUGAGUUUGAUUUUGUUUUAGUUUUACUUCAUUUCAAAAGCAAUCAAAAAAAAAUUCAGCAUUUUUUCGAGUUUUGGUUCUCAAGAAUGGAGUUGGAUUAAAGUCUAGGUUGGAGUUUGUGUUUGAGAUUGGAAUUUUGGUGCUGUUUGAGUUCCGUAUGAGUUAUUUUUUUCAUGAUUUGGAUUUUGGUUUGCAAUUUCUACUCGAUAUUGUUACUGUCUCAGUGGGAUUUUGGAGCAAAACAUUGUAAUUUUCAAUUAUUAGUGAAAUAAUUCCGAAUUAACAGGUUCUUUACCUUAUUCCUUUUCUAUUUUCCCAUGUAAUUUGUGUGUUUGUUGAUUUCUUAUCGUUUUAGUUUUUUUUAUUAUGGUUGUUCGUUUCUUCUUCAACUUCUGCUAUUAGUUUGGUAGUGUUCAAAUGAGUGUAAAUUUUACCUGAUUUCAUGUUGUGUUGAAUCUGUUUCACUAUUUGAGGUGUGCUCUUAAAAUUGAGUAUUGAACAUGUAGGCUCAAUUUGUUCAAAUAGGCGCAAAUGUGUUAAUGUGAGUCUGUGAAAUCUUGUUGUGGAAAUCGAAAAUGGGUGUUUUCUUCUGUAAUUGCAAUGAUAGUCUGAUAAUUGCUCAAAUUGUUUGAUAAUCUAUUUUCUUUUGGUGAAAGAGAUGGAGUAACAGAAGAAAUGGAUUUAUAGGUAUUUGAAUCAUGGUCAUUUCAUUUUUUGGAAAAUUAUCGGGUAUUAAGAUUGGAAAACUCUUUAUUGGUAUUUAUAGGGUUGGCUUCGAAUUAGUAAGCCAAAUGAAGGAGUUUUUUAAUGCUUUUGGACUUUCACUGUUUGCUUGUGGGAUUUUAAGAUAAUGAAAACUUGAUUGAAUGUUUCUUGACUUGAUUGAGUAUUUCUGGGUCACGGUAUAUUGAAAGUCUGGUAAUAAGAGUCAGUGGGGGCUAAGGUACUUGCCAUCAUUUUCUUAUCUUUGAUAUUAAAUUAAUUCAUCCUCUGUUAUUAAGGCAAGAUUGAAGCCUUGAAUGAAUCUUGUUAUUAAAUAAAUGGAUUCUCUUAUCUUUGUCUUAGAUGGUGAUGUUUGAGUAGUAAAUUGUUACAACAAGUUUUUCAACUCAUAUUUGGUCUAAUUUAAUUUUCUUUCUUUCGAGAUUCGGCAUGUGGGUGAGAUUUUGCAUAUCAAAUGUUUCUUGUGCGCUUCUAUGGAGCUCUAGGUGUGAUUUAUUGGUCU